AUGCCAUGGGGCUGCCCCAGAGCACUGCUGCUGGCUGGGAUGGGCUCGGCCACCCCACGGGCUGCUCCCCCUGUGCCCCCUCCUGCAGCAGACCUGCCCGGGGAGCUGUGGAGGCCCACGCUCGGAGCAUUUUCCUUCCCCACAGGGGUGAUUCAGCUCGCUUUCCUCUGCAAACAGUGGGUGGACCCCGGCUGGAUUUCCGGGAGCGACGCCGCACCAAUUCCCGGCCUGGGGAUUUGCAGCCCUGCACCUCGCAGCACCUGCACGAUGCAGUCCCUGCACCCCUGCACGAUGCUGACAGGGGUACGGAGGGUGACGAGCCCCCUGCGAGCCCUGAUUUGGGUGGCAGGGUGUGGGUAUGAUGCAGUGCUCCCCAGUGUAGGGAUGCCCGCUGCCCACCCUACACUUGGCAGAAGCCUCCUGGCACGUGUACUGUGGUCCCAAAUCCAACUGGGGGCCAAAAGUGGGGGUGAUUGGGGUGAGGGAUCCCCUUGUGCCCCCUGUCCCAGAGGCAAAACCCUCUCGGAUUUGCCACUAGAGGGGGGUGCAGGAGCUUGGAGCUGCUGCAUGGGGCGAGUCCCAUAUCUGGACCUGUCCCAGGCCCCAUCCUGCUCCAACCAUGCACACGAGGCUGGCAGGAGCACGGCUUUGACCAUCGGGGGGUUUACAUUUCGGGGAAACACCAGCCCUGGGCGCAGAGCGUGGGGAAGCAGCAGCACGAUGGCGCAAUCCUUCCCAGCACCAGCCGGGCUUUUUGGGGGCAAAAAGGGGCUGGAGGUGGGGGUUCACCAAGCUCACCCUGCUCCCCAAGACAUUUCUGGGGGCGAGCCCACCUCGCAGGCUGCCACCCCCAGUCCUAUCAUUAACCCUAAACCACCCCUGGGCCGGGAGGCUCCUUUUGGGACGCAUCCCCCUGGGGUUCCCAGGGUCCCCCCUUGGUGCCAUUUCCUCUCCAAGCAGCGCCUUCCCCCCGCUCUCCGCACGCCUUCGCUCUCGCUUCUGCUUCUUUGGCCACCAGGAAACCUUCCUGCCGUGCGAUGGACACCCGCCAGGGAUGCUGGCAGACGAUGCUGA
rnacentral:lncRNA from 1 species